CCUACGGGAGGCAGCAGUGAGGAAUAUUGGUCAAUGGGCGCGAGCCUGAACCAGCCAAGUCGCGUGAGGGAAGACGGUCCUAUGGAUUGUAAACCUCUUUUGUCGGGGAGCAAAAGACGCCCCGUGUGGCGUUCCGAGAGUACCCGAAGAAAAAGCAUCGGCUAACUCCGUGCCAGCAGCCGCGGUAAUACGGAGGAUGCGAGCGUUAUCCGGAUUUAUUGGGUUUAAAGGGUGCGCAGGCGGAAGAUCAAGUCAGCGGGAAAAUUGAGAGGCUCAACCUCUUCGAGCCGUUGAAACUGGUUUUCUUGAGUGAGCGAGAAGUAUGCGGAAUGCGUGGUGUAGCGGUGAAAUGCAUAGAUAUCACGCAGAACUCCGAUUGCGAAGGCAGCAUACCGGCGCUCAACUGACGCUCAUGCACGAAAGUGUGGGUAUCGAACAGGAUUAGAUACCCCAGUAGUC
rnacentral:rRNA from 1 species